CCUACGGGUGGCUGCAGUGGGGAAUAUUGCACAAUGGGGGAAACCCUGAUGCAGCGACGCCGCGUGAGUGAAGAAGUAACUCGUUAUGUAAAGCCCUAUUAGCAGGGAAGAAAAUGACGGUACCUGAGUAAGAAGCCGCGGCUAACUACGUGCCAGCAGCCGCGGGAACACGGAGGGGGCAAGCGUUAUCCGGAUUUACUGGGGGUAAAGGGAGCGUAGGCGGGAGUGCAAGUCUGGAGUGAAAGGCGGGGGCUCAACCCCCGGACUGCGCUGGAAACUGUACGGCUGGAGUGCAGGAGAGGUAAGUGGAAUUCCUAGUGUAGCGGUGAAAUGCGUAGAUAUUAGGAGGAACACCAGUGGCGAAGGCGGCUUACUGGACUUUAACUGACGUUGAGGCUCGAAAGCGUGGGGAGCAAACAGGAUUAGAUACCCGAGUAGUC
rnacentral:rRNA from 1 species